ACGGGAGGCAGCAGUGGGGGAUAUUGCACAAUGGAGGAAACCCUGAUGCAGCAACGCCGCGUGAGGGAAGAAGGUUUUCGGAUUGUAAACCUCUGUUUUUAGUGACGAAACAAAUGACGGUAGCUAAAGAGGAAGCCACGGCUAACUACGUGCCAGCAGCCGCGGUAAUACGUAGGUGGCAAGCGUUGUCCGGAUUUACUGGGUGUAAAGGGUGCGCAGGCGGGACUGCAAGUUGGAUGUGAAAUACCGGAGCUCAACUCCGGAACUGCAUCCAAAACUGUAGUUCUUGAGUGGAGUAGAGGUAAGCGGAAUUCCGAGUGUAGCGGUGAAAUGCGUAGAUAUUCGGAGGAACACCAGUGGCGAAGGCGGCUUACUGGGCGCUAACUGACGCUGAGGCACGAAAGCAUGGGUAGCAAACAGGAUUAGAUACCCUGGUA
rnacentral:rRNA from 1 species